GUCAGAUACAUCCCCCAUUGCUCUACAAUAAAAGGGGGUAAAAAACUUGUCAAUCCAAGAAAUGUGAUGGAAGAAGUCAUCCAAGGAUUACACAAAAUUUGGAGAAUUAUCUAUCAAUAAAAAAGUAGAUGCUUGUAUAUCAAGAGAUCAAAUGAUAAACUAAAUGAGAAUAAAUGGGGAAGAAUCUUACUAAAAUGCCAACUAGGGUGGAGAGAAAAAAGAGGACAUCAACAAGUAAAAAGGGAUAAAACUUCAUUAUUACAACUAUCCAACCUUCAAAUUUUCUUUUCCUUGAUAUUGACAUCAAAUGUUCAUAAUACCCCAAAUUUGUAUGGAAUAAACUAUGUAGGUUAGAAUCAGAUCCAGACAGUUACAUAGUUCCCAUUUAUUUCCAAUUCUUUUGAUAAGCUUUUCCCUUUUCCCCCUGCAAUUUACAUAGAGGACUUGAAACUUCU
rnacentral:misc_RNA from 1 species